AUUGAACGCUGGCGGCAGGCCUAACACAUGCAAGUCGAACGAGUGGCGGACGGGUGAGUAAUGUCUGGGAAACUGCCUGAUGGAGGGGGAUAACUACUGGAAACGGUAGCUAAUACCGCAUACCAUCAGAUGUGCCCAGAUGGGAUUAGCUUGUUGGUGGGGUAACGGCUCACCAAGGCGAAGCUCCCUAGCUGGUCUGAGAGGAUGACCAGCCACACUGUAACUGAGACACGGGCCAGACUCCGAAGGGAGGCAGCAGUGGUGAAUAUUGCACAAUGGGCGCAAGCCUGAUGCAGCCAGGUGGAGUGUAUGAAGAAGGCCUUCGGGUUGUAAAGUACUUUCAGCGGGGAGGCGUUACCCGCAGAAGAAGCACCGGCUAACUCCGUGCCAGCAGCCGCGGUAAUUC
rnacentral:rRNA from 1 species